CCUACGGGAGACAGCAGUCGAGAAUCAUUCACAAUGGGGGAAACCCUGAUGGUGCGACGCCGCGUGGGGGAAUGAAGGUCUUCGGAUUGUAAACCCCUGUCAUGUGGGAGCAAAUUAAAAAGAUAGUACCACAAGAGGAAGAGACGGCUAACUCUGUGCCAGCAGCCGCGGUAAUACAGAGGUCUCAAGCGUUGUUCGGAAUCACUGGGCGUAAAGCGUGCGUAGGCUGUUUCGUAAGUCGUGUGUGAAAGGCGCGGGCUCAACCCGCGGAAGGCACAGGAAACUGCGAGACUAGAGUAAGGGAGGGGGAACCGGAAUUCUCGGUGUAGCAGUGAAAUGCGUAGAUAUCGAGAGGAACACUCGUGGCGAAGACGGGUUCCUGGACAUUAACUGACGCUGAGGCACGAAGGCCAGGGGAGCGAAAGGGAUUAGAUACCCCUGUAGUC
rnacentral:rRNA from 1 species